rnacentral:lncRNA from 1 species
ACAGGCGGCGCGACCACGUUUAUUGGCAACAGUUGUUUUCUAAUUGGCGGCAGGUCAGAGAAUGAGUUAGACUUUUGACCUGAUGCUUGGAGGUCGGAGCGCAACUUCUUCAGGAGGACAGACUUUCCACUGCUAAGUGCGGCCCCGGCGGGAGGGUGCCGGGGUCCAGGUCUAAGGAGCGGCGCCGGGCGGCGGGGCUGGAUUGGGUGGUGCAAAUUCAGCGAACGCGCUUAAGACGCACUCCUUUCCGGUCACCUACUCUCUCUUCAUGGUGGGAACUGUUUGUGUCCAGAAUUAAGCUAUAUUUAAUAAAGGGCCAGGAUGAGGUGGUCGUGCAGCAUUUUGUUCUGGAGAACCUAGGAUCAACUGUAUGUCACAACAUAUUCCGUAGGCGUUCCCGUUCCCGUCCAUGGGCUGGGAAGAGACAGUAAACUUUACCGUGAUGUUUGGGGACUGGUACGAAAGGGUGUUAUAGUGACUUUUUAAACGAAGACUUUGAUGUAAAGACUUAUACUUCUCAAUCUAUUCAUCAAGCUGUAAUUGCUGAACAACUAGCAAAACUUGCCCAAGGAAUCAGUCAGUUGGACAGAGAACUACACUUACAGGUUGUUGCAAGACAUGAAGAUUUACUGGCACAAGCAACUGGGAUUGAGUCGUUGGAAGGUGUUCUUCAGAUGAUGCAGACGAGAAUUGGGGCUUUACAGGGAGCUGUUGAUAGGAUAAAAGCAAAAAUUGUUGAACCAUACAAUAAGAUAGUUGCCCGGACUGCACAACUAGCAAGACUUCAGGUUGCCUGUGAUUUGCUUCGGAGGAUUAUUCGUAUCUUGAAUCUCAGUAAGAGACUCCAAGGACAACUGCAAGGGGGAAGUAGAGAGAUAACAAAAGCUGCUCAGAGUCUCAAUGAACUUGAUUCUGU